rnacentral:rRNA from 1 species
GACGUAGGGGGCAAGCGUUGUCCGGAAUUAUUGGGCGUAAAGGGCGUGUAGGCGGUCGGUCACGUAGCGGUUUGCAGCCGUCGGCUCACCCGACGGAAGGCGGCUAAACGGGGCGGCUGGAGGGCAGGAGAGGUGCACGGAAUUCCUGGUGGAGCGGUGAAAUGCGUAGAGAUCAGGAAGAACACCGGUGGCGAAGGCGGUGCACUGGCCUGGCCCUGACGCUGAGGCGCGACAGCGUGGGGAGCAAACGGG